rnacentral:rRNA from 1 species
CAGGCCUAACACAUGCAAGUCGAACGGUGGCAGCAAUGUCAUAGUGGCGCACGGGUGCGUAACACGUAACUAACCUACCUAUAACUGGGGGAUAGCCCGCCGAAAGGCGGAUUAAUACCGCAUAAGCUUUUCGGGUGGCAUCACCUGUUUAGUAAAGAUUUAUUGGUUAUAGAUGGGGUUGCGGGUCAUUAGCUAGUUGGUAAGGUAACGGCUUACCAAGGCGACGAUGACUAGGGGAGCUGAGAGGCUGGUCCCCCACACGGGCACUGAGAUACGGGCCCGACUCCUACGGGAGGCAGCAGUAGGGAAUAUUGGGCAAUGGGCGAGAGCCUGACCCAGCCAUGCCGCGUGCAGGAAGAAGGCUUUCUGAGUCGUAAACUGCUUUUGACAGGGAAGAAUAAGGCUUACGUGUAGGCUGAUGACGGUACCUGCAGAAUAAGCACCGGCUAACUCCGUGCCAGCAGCCGCGGUAAU